rnacentral:rRNA from 1 species
GACAGAGGGUGCAAACGUUGCUCGGAAUUACUGGGCGUAAAGCGCGUGUAGGUGGAUUGGUGUGUCAGAUGUGAAAUCCCUGGGCUCAACCCAGGAACUGCACCUGAAACUACCAGUCUUGAGUGGUGGAGAGGGAAGUGGAAUUCCUGGUGUAGAGGUGAAAUUCGUAGAUAUCGGGAGGAACACCGGUGGCGAAGGCGGCGACCUGGGUCGAGACUGACGCUGAGGCGCGAAAGCUAGGGGAGCAAACGGG